rnacentral:rRNA from 1 species
AGACAGCAGUCGCCGCGGUAAUACAGAGGGUGCGAGCGUUAAUCGGAUUUACUGGGCGUAAAGCGUGCGUAGGCGGCUUCUUAAGUCGGAUGUGAAAUCCCUGAGCUUAACUUAGGAAUUGCAUUCGAUACUGGGAAGCUAGAGUAUGGGAGAGGAUGGUAGAAUUCCAGGUGUAGCGGUGAAAUGCGUAGAGAUCUGGAGGAAUACCGAUGGCGAAGGCAGCCAUCUGGCCUAAUACUGACGCUGAGGUACGAAAGCAUGGGGAGCAAACAGGGUUAGAUACCCGAGUAGUCCCUGUCUCUUAUAC